GUGUCAGCAGCCGCGGUAAUACGUAGGGUGCAAGCGUUGUCCGGAAUUAUUGGGCGUAAAGAGCUCGUAGGCGGUUCGUCGCGUCGGCUGUGAAAACCUGAGGCUCAACCUCAGGCCUGCAGUCGAUACGGGCGGACUUGAGUGUUGCAGGGGAGACUGGAAUUCCUGGUGUAGCGGUGAAAUGCGCAGAUAUCAGGAGGAACACCGGUGGCGAAGGCGGGUCUCUGGGCAACUACUGACGCUGAGGAGCGAAAGCGUGGGGAGCGAACAGGAUUAGAUACCCUGGUAGUCC
rnacentral:rRNA from 1 species